rnacentral:rRNA from 1 species
UACGAAGGGGGCUAGCGUUGCUCGGAAUCACUGGGCGUAAAGCGCACGUAGGCGGCUUUUUAAGUCAGGGGUGAAAUCCUGGAGCUCAACUCCAGAACUGCCUUUGAUACUGGGAAGCUCGAGUCCGGGAGAGGUGAGUGGAACUCCGAGUGUAGAGGUGAAAUUCGUAGAUAUUCGGAAGAACACCAGUGGCGAAGGCGGCUCACUGGCUCAUUUCUGACGCUCAGGCGCGACAGCGUGGGGAUCAAACAGG